rnacentral:snRNA from 1 species
UCGCUCAGGUCUCUCCUCACCCCCCGCACGAAUUAACCUUUCGCCUUUUACUAAAGGUUACCGUGGGGAGGGACACUCCAAUGAGCCUACUGGCCAAUUUUUGUAAGGCCCAGCCUGUUUGGGUGG